rnacentral:rRNA from 1 species
UGCGGCUGAACCAACAGAUUCACUUCGGUGAUGACGUUGGGAACGCGAGCGGCGGAUGGGUGAGUAACACGUGGGGAACCUGCCCCAUAGUCUGGGAUACCACUUGGAAACAGGUGCUAAUACCGGAUAAGAAAGCAGAUCGCAUGAUCAGCUUAUAAAAGGCGGCGUAAGCUGUCGCUAUGGGAUGGCCCCGCGGUGCAUUAGCUAGUUGGUAGGGUAACGGCCUACCAAGGCAAUGAUGCAUAGCCCGAGUUGAGAGACUGAUCGGCCACAUUGGGACUGAGACACGGNCCAAACUCCUACGGGAGGCAGCAGUAGGGAAUCUUCCACAAUGGACGAAAGUCUGAUGGAGCAACGCCGCGUGAGUGAAGAAGGUUUUCGGAUCGUAAAGCUCUGUUGUUGGUGAAGAAGGAUAGAGGUAGUAACUGGCCUUUAUUUGACGGUAAUCAACCAGAAAGUCACGGCUAACUACGUGCCAGCAGCCCGCGGNAUANAA